AUGUAAUAAUCCAUACCAUUAAUGAUUUCCCACUUCCCAGUCCAGUCCCAGUCCCAGUCCCAGUCCCAUCCACUGUACCGUAUUCUCCGUCAUAAACGACGCCGUGGGUUGAGGGUCACACUUUAAACCCUGGCCGCCGCCUCUUAUCACCACCGCCAGCGCCACCGCAAGAAAAUGAGCAAGAGGAUGUCCGGUCCCAGGCUGAGGCGUAUGUAUUGGGGUUUGGGUCGACUCCGGUCGAUUCUCAUGGCGACGGCGACAAUUGACAUUGCUAAUUUGCAAGUGUUUGUAGAGUUGUUUUGGUGUAGGGAAUUGAUGAGAGAGAGAGAGCGAGGGAGGGAGGGAGAGAGAGAGAGGGCGAGGGGUUGAAAGCUUGAAGCUUUUAAAAAAAUUUUCUCGCUUAUUUGUAAUGCAGAAUGGAGGACGGACAUUGCUGAGCUAUCUGGGCCUGACUUCCGGGGUUUGCAUUACAUCGGUGGAUGGUAAACUAAAAUCUGCUGGUCGACAUUGUUCUCGCCUGCAAAUUACAUGGCUUUCGAACUACAUAUGGACAACCUAAAGCUUGCGCUCUCGUAUACUUGUCCCCAGAGACCUUGCGGUUGCGGUUUCAGGUUUGCCGCGAAGGAAAUCUUCCUCCAGAUCCCCUGCCACUGUUCAACUAGAACUUGGUCUGGUUGAUACAUUUCUCAGUUUUUGUAGGGUUGGAUGGCAAAUGUGGCUGGCUGAAAUUGAAUUCAGUUUCUUUUGUCCUUUACUCCUCACCCAACAGAGUUGAACAGAUACUGCUUUAUUUUGGGUUUGAACAUGUAACAGCUGCUGCUGCCUCUCACAAUGUUGGUAAACUUAUGGGAAAAAGCAGAUGGCGCACCUUUCGCGAGUCAUAAUGUACAAAAACGUCAAUCACUACCUAUUUUCCUUGAGCUCGUCUGAGGCCCGUUUAUCUCUAGGGUUACAAUUCAUUGAUUUCCCCGGCGGGAAAAGCUCUCUGUGGAUAUCUGCAAACAGUUCAACUUGAGCUUAGAAAGUCCUUAGCUUGGAGGCAUUGCCAGAUCCUAUAUUACAUGUUUGAGAACGGUUGAUCAUUUUUUAACCAAACCAUGAGGCAGUAAAAGUAAUUUCAGCUUCGAAUCUCUCUUGGGUACCACCAAUGACAUUGAGUGAAGAACAGGCCGCCUAGCCAUUCACUUACCCCAUUCCGAGCUCUAGGAAAGUUCGUCUUAAAGAGUGACCAUCAGGAUGUAUUGCUAUUUGGAGUUCAUGCAAGAAGGGAGGCUUUUCAUGGGAAUACUGAUCAUGCAAGAAGAGUAUUUAUUUAGCAUGGCAUUUUCAUCUGUCGAGUGUUGAUGGCUUACUUUGGAAUUACGGUCUGGAAGAGGCUUUUGCAAUGGUGCUUCCAGGUAGUUCUCCUGUGCAUCUCCUCGUGUCCUGUCGUGCUAGUAAAAUUAUAUUUGAUUCAAGUAGCUUUACUUGAUCCUGUCAGUCAUAUUCCAUAGUUUUUAAGUAGAGUAAAUAGCGUAGGUGUUAGCGGGCAUCCAUGUUGCAUUAACCAAAAUCAAAGUAUGUCCAAACUGCCACUACAGCAGUGGUUUUUAACCAAGAAAACAUGCCUCCAAUCCGAUUUCAUUAUAAAAGGAAAAAAAAAAAAAUGAAAUAAAAAUACAGCAUUUAUAAAUUUAUGUGGGUUGAUAAUCAUAGUCUCAGACUUGGCAAUGUAUGUUUUACAAGUAUAAUUGAACAUAAAAUAAUAAUAAUAAUGAUAAAAAGGAGAUGUCUGAAUUAAAUUAAUGGAGACGAAAGAGCCUUUACAAGUGAGAAGGAAGGAACGAACAAACAUCAUAAAAAUUAAAAGAAAGACAAAGAGGAGAGAAAGAAAAAGACAAAACCGACGGUAAAACCCAGAAACAAAACAAGUCCACCAAAGCCUCCUAACCCUAACAACAAGGUUUCUAUCAGAGGAGAGGGAGGGCGCCGCCCUUGGCAAUGGUCUUUCUCUCUCUUAACCUUUAGUUGCUACUGAGAAGAAGGGAAAGAGAGAGAGAGAGAGAGAGACAGAGAGAGAGGACACCAUUGAAGGCGACAGAGAAAAGGAGGCUGGGCAACACUUGGUUGGGGGCAGUCUAGUGCGGAGAAACAAACAAAAGGGGCUGCCAGUCUAACAGUUUCCUUGCCGAAAUGAGCCAGAGCAAAUCAUGGGGUAUUGCGACACUUCCCUCCCCUCCUAUUUAUUUCAUUUAUUUACUAACUGCUUAAGAGAUAAUUAAUUUGAUUUGUUUCAUUUAUUUUCAAUACUAAGGUAAUUAAUAUUGGGUGCAUAUCGGAUGUCCUCCUUUGUUAUAUAUUGAACUAGAUUAUUGAAACGAAUUCGAGUGGAUUGGAUUGAUCUCUACAGUUAUUACCCAUACAUAAGUAUCCCUAUUGAAAUUCAAUUUAUGUUACAAGCAAAAAGAAGAUAUAAAACUCGUGUCCACCCCAAACAACUUAGUUGGGUCCGACUAGCAUAAAGAAAACCUAUCAAUUCCAAUUCCAAUCCCAGUCCCAAUCCCACUCAAAUUGGUGGUAGGGUAGGAGAAUGGGAGAUAACAUGAUAAAUAGUAGGGAUCAUUCUUCAACCAUCUUCAAUAUCUACCUUCAACUUGUAGUCUUCCCGUUCUAAUCCAUAUCCCUAGAGACGACCAACCAAGGCCUUGAAGUAACCUUUUAGCUAUCGGUUUUGAUUCAUGUUCAUAUCAAAUGAAAUGAAAUAAAUUAAACCCUAAUUUUAUUGUUUUAGAGUCCCUUACGUUGCCUCUUCCUCCCUCCAUUGCCAUCUUUCUUGUCAAUUCUUCCUUUUUUUUUAUUCCUUAGAUUGUUGUCCAUGUCCAUUUGUUCUUGGUGAUGAAUUAUCAACACAAGCCAGCUUUGUUGAUAACUUGGGAGAUAAUAGGCUGUACUCUCAUGUCAUUAACUAUUGUUUGCUUAAUUUUAAUGAAGAUGGGUAUUGAUGCAUUAUCUUAUUUAUCAUAUUUGAAGGAGAAUAUAUAGGUUCAAAGUGAAUUGGUUAGAUUUGAUCCAAAAUGAUGUUCGCAGUCAAGGAGUAGAACAUACAUGUGUUGCUUGCUCAUGUAGUCGCAUAGACAGUGGAAGCCGUCCUGGUUUGCAACUACGGGGUUAGACCAAGGGUCUCUGUGAGAGACUUGGCACUCAAUGUAGGUGCUCCCUACAUAUUUGAAGUAGAACCACACACUGGCAAGGACAAUGGUUCAUCCUCUUCAUGUGAAGAAAUUGAGAUGAUAACUAUCGUAUUAGCUUAUCGGUUUGCUGGUGAGUCUAGGUCAGUAGAUUACUUUCAAUUCAUAAGCGAACACGGGAUAAUGUUGGAAAAUUUUUGGCGAGUUGAAGAAGGGACACUUAUCGAAUAAGAGUGGGGGCUACGAAAAUAAAUAAACUAUUCAUGCAUACCCACACAAACACUUGACCAGAGAGGAUGAGUCAAAGUUGUGAUCCAUGGUUUUAAAUGGUUCACCAAGCAAAUUCCAAUUGCACUCGGUAUUCCUAUGCCUAAUCGAAUGCGGGUGUCCGGUAUGAAUGUUAAUCAGAGGGCUAUUGAGAUACAAAUGAUGAAGGUGCUUUUGACGCAUCUUGCCAUUGUUCUCAUUAUCUCAGUAGAUCAACACUUUGCAAUUACAAGCACGGAGUCUAUGUGCCAUUGCUGGAUGAGCCUUGCGAGGCCCAUACCCAUGAUGUGACACUUCUUGGGUGGGGAACAUAUGAAGAAAAGGUCACCGGCUUUGAGUUGAAGAAAAGAAAGAGGGAUGAAGCUUCGAAUGUGGGUGAAUUUUGGCACAUAAGCAAUCCAUGGGGGCAAUGAUUGGGGUAUAUUAUAAAGGGAAUGACGCUUCCUUAUAUCCACCACAUUGCAUUCCCAACAUUUGACAAGGAGAGAAAAGUCUACCUAACUGCGGAUGGCAAUGUUACCAGCCACCAAGUUAUCUCUGAAGGUAGUCAAAGGUAAAAUAAUUGACUUAAUUGUUUUAAAUUAUAAUAACUGAAACCUCGAAGUUAAUCUUUUAUUGUUCAAUUUAUUUCAUUCUAUGCAAUGAAUCUUCAUUAUUCCUUAAAUUCUAUAUGUAAGAUAGUUGGGCAAUACAUGGCAUUUAGGCUUGUUUGAGUGGCACUGGAGUUCGGAAAUGAAAAGAAGCAGCACAUUUGUUUUGGUGAUGUAGGGUUCUUUCUUAAUUGGGUUUGAGCUUUUUGACUCUCUCUCUCUUGAUAGAUUAAUGUGUUUAAUAAUGUUAGAUAUGUUAUAUAUACACAGGAUGGAGGCUCGUGCUGGUAAUGCAUAUAAGGGAGCUAGAUAUGAGGCUGAGAGUAAGAGUGGAAAGCUGGCAAGUGGUGAUAGUGCCUCCAGAAGAAUGGAAACUACUACUACUAGUGUUGUUUCUUCUCUUAUUUCUCAUUAUAAUGGGUUGUUACUUGGCAGCAACAAAAGCGGAGGAGCAUAUGAUACUCGUAGUUAAUGCGGAAGUUGUUGGAAGGUAAGUUUUCUUGUGUAUUUUUAGUAUUUGAUAACUGAGUGAAAACAAUAUUUUCUUUUCUUUUCUAAUUCAGAUGAGUCAGGUUUUGUUUUUGAUAUUUAUGCAGUGUACAAAGGAAGGUUAUCAUCUUGUGGAUCGUAGGAUGGCGGAGAUAUGGAAUUUUAAAGGGCAACACAUGCUAAAGGAAAACAAAACAUGUGUUGCUCUUUAAAAUUCCAUAUCUCUGCUAUCCUACGAUCCACAAGACGAUGACCUUCCUUUGUACAUUGCAUAAACAAAACAUGACUCAUCUGGAUUAGAAAAGAAAUGAAAAUGUUUUCACUCAGUUAUCAAAUACUAAAAAUACACAAGAAAACUUACCUUCCAACAACUUCCUCACUAACGAGUAUCAGAUGCUCUUUCGCUUUUGUUGCUACCAAGUGACAACCCAUUAUAAUGAGAAAUAAGAGAAGAAACAACACUAGUAGCAGUAAUUUCCAUUCUCUUGGAGGCACUAUCACCACUUGCCAGCUUUCCACUCUUACUCUCAGCCUCAUAUCUAGCUCCCUCAUAUGCAUUACCAGCACGAGCCUCCAUCCUGUGUAUAUAUAACAUAUCUAACAUUAUUAAACACAUUAAUCUAUCAAGAGAGAAGGUCAAAAAGCUCAAACGCAAUUAAGAAAGAACCCUACAUCACCAAAACAAAUGUGCUGCUUUCUUUCAUUUCCGAAUUCCAGUGCCACUCAAACAAGCCUAAAUGCCAUGUAUUGCCCAACUAUCUUACGUAUAGAAUUUAAGGCAUAAUGAAGAUUCAUUUCAUAGAAUGAAAUAAAUUGAACGAUAAAAGAUUAACUUCGAGGUUUCAGGGCACUUUAUUAUAAUUUAAAACAAUUAAGUCAAUUAUUUUACCUUUGACUGCCUUCAGAGAUAACUUGGUAGCUGAUAACAUUGCCAUCCGCAGUUAGGUAGACUUUUCUCUCCUUAUCAAAUGUUGGGAAUGCAAUGUGGUGGAUAUAAGGGAGCGUCAUUCCCUUUAUAAUGUACCCCAAUCAUUGCCCCAUGGAUUGCUUAUGCGCCAAAAUUCACCCAUAUUCGGAGCUUCAUCCCUCUUCCUUUUCUUUAACCCAAAGCCGGUGAUCUUUUCUUCAUAUUUUCCCCACCCAAGAAGUGUCACAGGAUGGAUAUGGGCCUCGCAAGGCUUAUCUAGCGACAACACGUAGACUUUGUGCUUGUAAUUGUGGAAGUGCUGAUCUAUUGAGAAAAAGAGAACAAUGGCGGGAUACGUUAGAAGCGCCUUCAUCAUUUGCAUCUCAAUAGCCCUUUGAUUAACAUUGAUACCGAGCACCCGCAUUUGAUUAGACAUAGGAAUACUGGGUGCAAUUGGAAUUUGCUUGGUGAACCAUUUAUAACCAUGGAUCACAACUUUGACUCCUCUUCUAUCUGGUCAAGUGUUUGUGUGGGUAUGCAUGAAUAGUUUUUUUUUAUUUUCGAGCCCCUACUCUUAUUCGAUAAGUGUCCCUUCUUCGACUUGCCAAAAAUUUUCCAACAUUAUCCCAUGUUCGCUUAUGAAUUGAAAGUAAUCUACUGACCUAGACUCACCAACUUCUUCACAUCAAGAGGAUGAACCAUUGUCCUUGCCAGCAUGUGGUUCUACUUCAAAUAUGUAGGGCGCACGUACAUUGAGUGCCAAGUUGCUCAUGGAGACCUUUGGGCAAACCCCGUAGUUGUAAGCCAGGGCGGCCUCCACCGUCUGUGCGACUGCAUGAGCAACACAUGAAUGUUCUACUCCUUGACUACGAACAUCCUUUUGGAUCAUAAGUAACCAAUUCACUUUGAACCUAUAUAUUGUCCUUUAAAUAUGAUAAAUAAGAUAAUGCAUCAAUACCCAUCUUCAUUAAAAUUAAGUAAACAAUAGUUAAUGACAUGACAGUACAACCUAUUAUCCCCUAAGUUAUCAACAAAGCUGGCUUGUGUUGAUAGGUUUUCUUUAUUCUAGCCAGACCUAAGUAAGUUGGUUGGGGUGGACACAAGAGUUUUAUAUCUUCUUUUUGCUUGUAACAUAACUUGAAUUUCAAUAGGGAUGCCUAGGUAUGAGUUGAUAACUUUAGAGAUCAAUCCAAUCCACUCGAAUUCACUUCAAUAAUCUAGUCCAAUAUAUAACAAAGGAGGACAUCCAAUAUGCACCCAAUAUGAAUUACCUUAGUAUUGAAAAAUAAAUGAAACAAAUCAAAUUAAUUAUCUCGUAAGUAGUUAGUAAAUAAAUGAAAUAAAUAGGAGGGGAGGGGAGUGUCGCGAUACCCCAUGAUUUGCUCUGGCUCAUGUUGGCAAUGAAACUGUUAGACUAGCAGCCUCAUUGUGUUUUUUGUUUGUUUCUCCGCACUAGACUGCCCUGCAAGAAGGAUAAAAGUGAGAACAGACAAAGAAUCAUAUAUCAGGGGAAAGGGAAAGGCCUUAGCUAACUACUCAACUAGGGUGUCGUCGCAAGAGAAAUACCCCAAACAAGUGUUGCCCAGCCUCAUCUUCUCUGCCGCCUUCAAUGGUGCCCUUUCUUUCUCUUAUUUUCUCUCUCUCUCUCUCUCUCUCUCUCUCAUAGUAGCAGCUGAAGGUUAAGCAGCAGCUAAAUGCAGAAAGCCGCGAAGAACGAGGCUAGGAAAAAGGUGGGCUAUAAUUCGGAGGUCUGGUGAAGUGACCCUACCCUUGAAGUAGGUAGGAGGAGAUUGUGUAACUUCUAUGGAUCGACACAAGGACUUGUCAAGGAGGUUGUCACUUCUAGCUAAGAUAUGUAAUAAGUGUUUUUACUUGUUCGUAUUGUAUUUUUGGAACAACUUGUAAUGUUGACGUUAAGUGUAUAUUCGAUAGCCUCUGUGCCUCUAAUUAUUUACUUGUGUUUGGCUUUUGGCAAGCA